rnacentral:rRNA from 1 species
UCCUACGGGGGGCAGCAGUGGGGGAUAUUGCACAAUGGGGGGAACCCUGAUGCAGCGACGCCGCGUGGGUGAAGAAGCGCCUCGGCGCGUAAAGCCCUGUCAGCAGGGAAGAAAAUGACGGUACCUGAAGAAGAAGCCCCGGCUAACUACGUGCCAGCAGCCGCGGUAAUACGUAGGGGGCAAGCGUUAUCCGGAUUUACUGGGUGUAAAGGGGGCGCAGACGGCGAUGCAAGCCAGGAGUGAAAGCCCGGGGCCCAACCGUGGGACUGCUCUGGAAACUGUAGAGCUGGAGUGCGGGAGGGGCG